GGAAAAGAAACUAACAAGGAUUUUCUUAGUAGCGGCGAGCGAAAAGAAAAUAGUUCAGCACUAAGUCAUUUUAUCAUUAUGAUAAAUAUGAGAUGCAGUGUAUGGAGUAUCUAAUAAUCUAGUAUGAAAAAUUAAUGAUUAAAGUCCUUCUUAAAUGAGGCCAUUUACCCAUAGAGGGUGCCAGGCCCGUAUAACAUUAAUGAUUACUAGAAGAUAUCUCCAAAGAGUCGUGUUGCUUGAUAGUGCAGCACUAAGUGGGUGGUAAACUCCAUCUAAAACUAAAUAUAACCAUGAGACCGAUAGCAAACAAGUACCGUGAGGGAAAGUUGAAAAGAACUCUGAAUAGAGAGUUAAAUAGUACGUGAAACUGCUUAGAGGUUAAACCCGAUGAACCUGAAUAUCCAUUAUGGAAAAUUCAUCAUUAUUGUAUAUAAAAUACUUUUUUAAAAUAUUUUAUUAAUAUAGUGUGCACUUUUUCCAUAUAAGGACAUUGUAUUCUGUUAAUAUAAUAAUAAAAUUUAUCAAAAGAUCCUUAGCUUAAGUUUAUUCAAAUUUUUUUGCUUGUUCAAAUUAACAUAGAAUAAAUGCUAUUGAUUCGAUAAAGUAUUGACAGAUUUAUUAUAUAUAAUGCUAAAAUUACAUAGUAAUUUUACAAUGACAAAUUUAUCAUAUGAUAUAUUUGUUUAUAAUUGUAUGCAUUUAUAUGAUUAACAAUGCGAUAGAUUCAGGAUACCUUCGGGACCCGUCUUGAAACACGGACCAAGGAGUCUAACAUAUUUGCAAGUCAUUGGGAUUUUUUUAUAAAAAUAAACCCAAAGGCAUAAUUAACUUAACUUGUUAUAAUGGGAUUAGUUUAUAUUAAUUUUAUAUUAAUUAUGAAUACAAUCCCGGGGCGUUCUAUAUAGUUAUGUAUAAUAGUAUUUUAUUAUAUUAUUUAUACCUCUAACUAGAGCGUACCUUAAGCAUAUAUGCUGUGACCCGAAAGAUGGUGAACUAUACUUGAUCAGGUUGAAGUCAGGGGAAACCCUGAUGGAAGACCGAAACAGUUCUGACGUGCAAAUCGAUUGUCAGAAUUGAGUAUAGGGGCGGAAGACUAAUCGAACCAUCUAGUAGCUGGUUCCUUCCGAAGUUUCUCUCAGGAUAGCUGGUGCAUAUGAAAUAAUCUUAUCUGGUAAAGCGAAUGAUUAGAGGCCUUAGGGUCGAAACGAUUUUAACCUAUUCUCAAACUUUAAAUGGGUAAGAACCUCACCUUUCUUGUUAUGAAGGUUGAGGUUUUGAUAUAAUGUGCCCAGUGGGCCACUUUUGGUAAGCAGAACUGGCGCUGUGGGAUGAACCAAACGUAAUGUUAUGGUGCCCAAAUUAACAACUCAUGCAGAUACCAUGAAAGGCGUUGGUUGCUUAAAACAGCAGGACGGUGGACAUGGAAGUCGUAAUCCGCUAAGGAGUGUGUAACAACUCACCUGCCGAAGCAACUAGCCCUUAAAAUGGAUGGCGCUUAAGUUGUAUACCUAUACAUUACCGCUAAAGUAAAUGAUUUAUAUAUAAUUUCGAUUAUAUUAUAAAUUUUGAAACUUUAGUGAGUAGGAAGGUAUAAUGGUGUGCUUAGAAGUGUUUGGCGUAAGCCUGCAUGGAGCCGCCAUUAGCACAGAUCUUGGUGGUAGUAGCAAAUAAUCGAAUGAGACCUUGGAGGACUGAAGUGGAGAAGGGUUUCGUGUGAACAGUGGUUGAUCACGAGUUAGUCGGUCCUAAGUUCAAGGCGAAAGCCGAAAAUUUUCAAGUUAAAAUUAUCAUAUUAAUUUUAUAUUUUAAAUAAUGCACUUGAAUUUUUUGAACGAAAGGGAAUACGGUUCCAAUUCCGUAACCUGUUGAGUAUCCGUUUGUUAUUAAAAGUGGGCAUUUUGCUCAUCCUGGUAACAGGAACGACCAUAAAGAAGCCGUUGAGAGAUAUCGGAAGAGUUUUCUUUUCUGUUUUAUAGCCGUACUACCAUGGAAGUCUUUCGAAGAGAGAUAUGGUAGAUGGGCUAGAAGAGCAUGACAUUUACUGUUGUGUCGAUAUUUUCUCUUCGGACCUUGAAAAUUUAUGGCGGGGUCACGCAAACUUCUCAACAGGCCGUACCGAUAUCCGCAGCUGGUCUCCAAGGUGAAGAGUCUCUAGUCGAUAGAAUAAUGUAGGUAAGGGAAGUCGGCAAAUUAGAUCCGUAACUUCGGGAUAAGGAUUGGCUCUGAAGAUUGAGAUAGUCGGGCUUGAUUGGGAAGCGAUACCAUGGUUUAUGUGCUCGUUCUGGGUAAAUAGAAAUUUUCGAAUUUUGUUCCCCGGAUAGUAGUUUACGUAGCCAAUCGUGGAUCUUUCUCUGCUAAAAAUCUUAUAGAAUUAUAUCGCAAGAUAAUAAAUUUUAUUUGAUUUAUAACGACUAUCAAUUAACAAUCAAUUCAGAACUGGCACGGACCUGAGGAAUCCGACUGUCUAAUUAAAACAAAGCAUUGUGAUGGCCCUAGCGGG
rnacentral:rRNA from 1 species